UAUCUUGCUCUCAUCCUUUGUGUCUCUUGUUCCGCCUCAGUCUCUCUUCUUUGUCCUAGGUCCCUGCUGAAUGCCCCAUGGUUUGGCACAACUGGCAUCCACCAUGUGGCCCCUGGGUCUGGAGUCCAAGAAGACCACCACUCCCCAAAGAGGACAUCCUCCCUCCCCCUGCUCAGGAUCACUGCUUUAUAAAGAAGUGAGUGAAGAUCUCCAUAGGGAGCUCCACAGAUCAUCCAAUUGGCUGUGAGAUUGAUCCAAGAAAGUUGUUUCCUUCAGUGCUUAAGCUUGGUUGUUCUAGAGCUUUCUCUAUAGACCAGCUGACCUUGAAAUCAGAGAUCCGCACUCCUCUAUCUCCUAACUUCUGGUAUUAAAGGUGUUGGGAACCAUGAGAGCCCUAAGAUAAACAUCCUGCCCCAG